rnacentral:rRNA from 1 species
UACGUAGGGGGCAAGCGUUGCCCGGAUUUAUUGGGCGUAAAGAGCUCGUAGGUGGUUUGGUAAGUCGGAUGUGAAAUCUCCAGGCUCAACCUGGAGGGGUCAUUCGAUACUGCCAUGACUAGAGGUCGGUAGGGGAGUGUGGAAUUCCUGGUGGAGCGGUGAAAUGCGCAGAUAUCAGGAGGAACACCCGUAGCGAAGGCGGCACUCUGGGCCGAUUCUGACACUGAGGAGCGAAAGCGUGGGGAGCGAACAGG